AAAGAGCCUCCUUUACCCGCAACCCUCAGCUAUAUUCAACACUAGAAAAAGCCGUACAUCUCUGUGAAAAGCUAAAUCGGUUUCUCUGCGAUGGCAAUGGCAGGGCGUAUUAGAUCUACACUUCCUCACCUACGCAAAGCCCUUUCAUCUGAUUCGAGAUCCGCUCUUUAUCCGGCCAUUAUCUCCAAUCCCGAGUUGUCAAGAAAUUAUGCUACUGCCCCAGCUGCCAAAGAGAAAAAAGUAAAGGUUCCAGUGACUAUGUAUGGGGUUUCUGGAAAUUAUGCCUCAGCUUUGUACAUCUCAGCUGUAAAAGCUAAUACAUUGGAGAAGGUCGAGUCCGAGCUUUUGGACCUUAUUGCGGCUUCAAAGAAAAGUCCUAAAUUUUCUCAGUUUAUGAAGGAUCUCUCUGUACCUACAGAGACAAGAGUGAAGGCCAUGACUGACAUCUCUUCAGAGGCUAAAUUUGGAGAUCUCACAAAGAACUUCUUGGUUGUUUUGGCUGAAAAUGGGAGGCUGAAACAUAUUGAUGCGAUAGCAAAAAGGUUUGCUGAGUUAACCAUGGCACACAAGGGGGAACUUAAAGCCAUUGUAACAACUGUUAUUCCUAUUCCUCCAGAGGAGGAGAAAGAAUUGAAGGAGACAUUGCAAGAGGUGAUGGGAAAAGGGAAGAAGGUGAACAUUGAACAGAAGAUUGAUCCUAGCAUUCUCGGUGGGCUUGUGAUAGAAUUUGGCCAGAAGGUCUUUGACAUGUCAAUUAGGACUAGGGCACGCCAGAUGGAGAGACUCUUGAGGGAACCUAUCAACUUCUGAUCGCGUGAAAUCCCAUUUUAGUUAUUUUACCCUUUUGUGGUUUUAGCUGACGAUGAAAACAUCCUCUUGAGGUGUUUGUUUCUCACAACAAUGUUCUUCUGCAUCUUGCACAAAUAAAAAGCAUACUUUACAUUUGAAUCUUCCAAAGGAAAACCUUGAUGAGGAUUCUUCAUUUUUAUUUUGAAGUUGUACUCACUUUUGUUGAUCAAAACCUUCUUUUAGAGUUUGAAUAACAU
rnacentral:misc_RNA from 1 species